GCGCGCCGCUCGGGUCGACUCGAUAUUUCCGUCGCCGACCCUCAACCGAGGGUGUCGGACGUCGCGACCCGUUCGCCAUUUCGUCGAUGCUGAGGGACGCGUCGCAGUUCGCCAGCGCCGUCGUCUCGGCGGCGGCGCGACGAUGACGCGUUUCCGUUGUUUUCGACGCGGACGGUAGCUUUGCGCGCGGGUAUUCGACGCGGCCCGUUCGCCCGACGCCUCGGUCGCGUCGGGCGGCGCUCGCGUCGACGCCGGUCAGCGACGAAUCUUCGGGCCUCUUUCCGACCCGUCUUGAACAACGGACCAAAAACCCCAAAACCAA
rnacentral:rRNA from 1 species